UAAUGUGUACCUAGUUUAUACAAAGUGACACAUAGGUUGAGGAGGCGGUGACUGUGGCGGUGGAGGAGGAAGCAGUGGUGGAGGAGGAGGAUAAGGUAGUCAACACUGUUUUAUAUAUGUAUAUAUAUUUAUAUAUAUAUUUUAAUUGGGGUAGUUCCCAAAAUAUUGGGACAUAUAAAAAAAGAUAACUCUGUUCCGCAGAGUAGCUGUUGACAUUAUAGUUGCGCAGGCACUUUGUUGACUCUAGAGAACCUCGGACCAAUCGCACAUCCCCGUGCCAGUUUCUGCGCCUACCAUGGUGACCACGGGUAACAGGGAAUCAGGGUUCCAUUCCGUACAGGGACCCUGAGAAACGGCUGCCACAUCUAAGGAAGACA